GUUUCAUCUAGCUUGAGUGGCUUAGUUAACGUGUGUGGGCCUCAGUUCCGACAAAUAUAAAAUUAAACAGUUGGAUCGAACCAAGGUUAGUCAAAUGCCCGUGGGAGGAAAUUGUUUAAUUACCCAGAAGCCUCCGAGAGACUGGAGAAACUCAGCCAUGAGCAGAGAAACUGGCUUCACUCUGCUUGACCCUGAAGUGGUGAGAGUCACUAACCUUGACAAGACCCAGGAAGUGGAUCAUGGCAUGAAGAGGACAAUGGACAAAAAGCUGAUACACGAUGUCUUCAAAAAUUACUGA
rnacentral:lncRNA from 1 species